rnacentral:tRNA from 1 species
GGGGGUAGAGCUCAGUGGCAGAGCACAUGAUUAGCAUGCACAAGGUCCUGGGUUCAAUCCCCAGUACAUCCA